rnacentral:rRNA from 1 species
AUUGAACGCUGGCGGCAUGCCUUACACAUGCAAGUCGAACGGCAGCACGGGAGCAAUCCUGGUGGCGAGUGGCGAACGGGUGAGUAAUAUAUCGGAACGUGCCCAGUCGUGGGGGAUAACGUAGCGAAAGCUACGCUAAUACCGCAUACGAUCUAUGGAUGAAAGCGGGGGAUCGCAAGACCUCGCGCGAUUGGAGCGGCCGAUAUCAGAUUAGGUAGUUGGUGAGGUAAAGGCUCACCAAGCCGACGAUCUGUAGCUGGUCUGAGAGGACGACCAGCCACACUGGGACUGAGACACGGCCCAGACUCCUACGGGAGGCAGCAGUGGGGAAUUUUUGGGACAAUGGGCGCAAGCCUGAUCCAGCAAUGCCGCGUGCAGGAUGAAGGCCUCGGUUG